CCUACGGGGGGCAGCAGUGGGGAAUAUUGCACAAUGGGGGAAGCCCUGAUGCAGCAACGCCGCGUGAGUGAAGAAGUAUUUCGGUAUGUAAAGCUCUAUCAGCAGGGAAGAAGAUGACGGUACCUGACCAAGAAGCCCCGGCUAACUACGUGCCAGCAGCCGCGGUAAUACGUAGGGGGCAAGCGUUAUCCGGAUUUACUGGGUGUAAAGGGAGCGCAGGCGGUAUGGCAAGUCAGAUGUGAAAACCCAGGGCUCAACCCUGGGACUGCAUUUGAAACUGCCAUACUGGAGUGCCGGAGAGGUAA
rnacentral:rRNA from 1 species